AUGCCCUGAGCCACGAAUCAAUCCCCGAUACCCGGAUCACCUCGUUCCACCUGCAUGUUUCCUUGGGACGGGUUUUUUGUCUUUAUUAUCUCUUUCUAUUGUUAGGAUACGGCGUGUUGCAUCCCACAGUUUUUCCUCUCUAGGGAUCCGCGAUUAAUCAUUCCGACAGUCUACAUUUAGGGUCAGGGUGCGUUACGUAGAAAAUUUGGGUUUAUUCCAAAUCUAUAGCGCGUUGAUGCUGGACUUCUUCCAAAAGCGAUCGAGUUGGAAUCCGGUCCGUGUUCAUAGAACGGGCAUGAACAUUGGAUUGAGGGCUAUCCACGGGGACAGGAUGUAUUCAUAAAGUGGCAUGGCGAUUGAAGUGAAUUGGACACGGUUUGUUCGGUUUUUUUUCGCGACAUAAGAAGAAUGAUUCGAAGUUGCCAGCAUUAUUUUGAGCACGUUAUGACUCAAAAAGUAUAAUGGUUGAAAGACACUGGGUAAUAAGAUAAUUCGGAACUGAAAAGAAGAGUGACGUCAGCAGGAUGGAAUCGAAACAAGACUGUUACCAGAAGAAUGGAAUUGAAAGAACACUGACACUAGCAGAAUGGAAAUUAAAGAGGACUGAUACCAACAGGAUGGAAUUCAACGAAAACUGACUCAACUCAAGCAGGAUGGAAUUUAAUGAAAACUGACUCCACUCCAGCAGGAUGGAAUUUAAGGAAAACUGACUCCACUCCAACAGGAUGGAAUUUAAAUAAGAUUGAUGCCAGCAAGAUACAAUUCAAAGAAGAAUGAUACCAACAGGAUGCAAUUUAACGAUUUGCAGAUAUUUAAAAAAUAUGGUAGACAAGGAAGAGAGAGAGACAAAAAAUUAAUUUUAGUCAAAUAGUGAAGAAAUACUAAUGAAGACACACUAAGCUAUUUGUUUUGAAGAAAUUUGAAGAAGUUGAAGAACUGUGAUUUUAAGCUAUGACAAAACUUGACUAUUUUAUUUAUUUUUUUUUAUAAAGCAUUUAAGCUGGUAAAUGUAUUUUAGUACAUUAUUCAAUUCAUUAUGCACCCAAAAGUAAAAGUACCAUGUAAUAACUGAAAACAAUCAAAAUUUGUAACUUUAUAACAGCGAACCUUGCUUUUCAUCAAAAAGUAGCCAGAAUAGUUCUUUUCAAUCUUCACAAAAGUUUUUCUCAUUUGAAAGGUAACAAAAAUAAUUCAUAUUUCACUUAAAACUUGUUGGUGGUCCUAACGUAAUAUUAAACAAUGAAAACAUGCCAAACUUGAUAUGUUAAGUGCAUGUUUUGAAAAAUAGCAACCUCAAAAACACGAAUUUUGGAACUUAUCGCUUAAUUUACUUCACAAAGCAAGUAGCAUAUGUGUAAAUUGUAUUAUCCUAGUCUCUAUUGAAAUAUAAAACAAAAAUAAUUUUAGUGCUUUUUAAUCUAUACUUUUGUUUAAAAGUUAUAAUGCUCAAUUUUAUGAUAUCAUAAAUUCUAGUUUAGCACUCUGCCAAAUACAAUGAAAGUCAUAAAGAUAAAAUAUAUUUCUAUACUUUUGUACGUAUAGAACAAUCAACACGCACCAUUAGAAAAAAUGGUCAAUCAAAAAUAAUAUUUAUUCGUACGUAUAAAUAAAACAUUUGAAAAAUAUGA
rnacentral:lncRNA from 1 species